CAUGAGUGAAUUUCCAGUCAAAUGUUUCCUUCUUCAGUGUUGUAUUGGGCUGUCCAUGGCUUUAAAAGUCACACAGACACCUAUUGACCUUUUCUUAGUCAUUGGAGCCACAAUGAACAUCACCUGCAGACACAAUGACAAAAGCUAUGACAAAAUCUUCUGGUACCAGCAGCCAAACGGGCAAAGUCUCGAGCACCUUGGCCUCCUUUCCUUCAAACAAUCCAUGGCUGACAGAGAGGGUUUCACGAUAACCGGAGAUGCAGAGAAAGCGGCGAAUCUGCUGGUGUCGUCUGUGAAAGCUGAGCACAGCGCUGUGUAUUUCUGUGCAGUGAGUGAUGCACAGUGCUUCAAGUGUAUAGGAGACUGCGCUUAA